rnacentral:rRNA from 1 species
GACGAACGCUGGCGGCGUGCCUAAUACAUGCAAGUUGAGCGCUGAAGGUUGGUACUUGUACCAACUGGAUGAGCCGCGAACGGGUGAGUAACGCGUGGGGAAUCUGCCUUUGAGCGGGGGACAACAUUUGGAAACGAAUGCUAAUACCGCAUAAAAACUUUAAACACAAGUUUUAAGUUUGAAAGAUGCAAUUGCAUCGUUCAAAGAUGAUCCCGCGUUGUAUUAGCUAGGUGGUGAGGUAAAGGCUCACCAAGGCGGUGAUACAUAGCCGACCUGAGAGGGUGAUCGGCCACAUUGGGACUGAGACACGGCCCAAACUCCUACGGGAGGCAGCAGUAGGGAAUCUUCGGCAAUGGACGAAAGUCUGACCGAGCAACGCCGCGUGAGUGAAGAAGGUUUUCGGAUCGUAAAACUCUGUUGGUAGAGAAGAACGUUGGUGAGAGUGGAAAGCUCAUCAAGUGACGGUAACUACCCAGAAAGGGACGGCUAACUACGUG